rnacentral:rRNA from 1 species
GACGAACCGUGCAGACGUUAUUCGGAAUCACUGGGCAUAAAGGGCGCGUAGGCGGCUUUCUAAGUCAGGGGUGAAAUCCGGCAGCUCAACUGUCGCAGUGCCUUUGAUACUGGAGAGCUCGAGGGAGGUAGGGGUCUGUGGAACUUCCGGUGGAGCGGUGAAAUGCGUUGAUAUCGGAAGGAACGCCGGUGGCGAAAGCGACGGACUGGAUCUCUUCUGACGCUGAGGCGCGAAAGCCAGGGGAGCAAACGGG